rnacentral:tRNA from 1 species
GGUUCAGUGAUCCAACACACGAGCCACGGAUUGGUGCGAGGCACGGGUUCGAAUCCCGUCUGAUCCA